GAAUAAUUGUGACAGACAGCUGAGGUAUUCCAGUAGACUUACAUUAGUGGUGCAGAGUUGUACCUCCUAUGCUGUUUGGAUUUCUUAGUGAGUAAACUCAAUCUUACUGAACUCUCCCCCAUGAAGAUAUUUUGCUGUAUUUAAGGUAAUAUUGUUGUAUUUUCCAUCCAGGGUGUCCCCUGCCUUCACCCUCAGUCAGAUGGGAUAGACUCCAGCCUCACGCGACCCUAAUGAGGAUUAAACGUUGAAUGGAUGGUUUUUAUCUCUGCUGUUCCAGUUUUUGCAGCCUUGGGGUGAACUUCUGGAGGUGGUGCACAAAUAGCCAAUCGGUCAGAGUGUGGGAGGAGCCGAGUAAACAAAAAAUGAGCAAACAGCUUUGAGGUCAAUCAGGAUCUGAUCAGUCACUCGGAAAUCAGUCAAACUUUAAGAUGAAUCUGAUUCUGCUCUUCGGUCUGUCUCACUGCUGCUGGAUGGCUGCUGCCAGGUAUACAUGGACCGAUAAGCCCUGGAUCAUUGUGGGUGAGCAUGAAAUCAAGGAGGGAGAGACACUGAAGGUCAGCUGCACGCUUCCAAUCGACUACACUGGAGGAAACUGUCGCCUUUUCAGAGGAAACUCUGCCAUCCCCUUCAGGCUAAAGACAGCUUUGGAUUUUGUCUGCGUCUUUCACCUGUCAUCAAAAGUGCUGCUAGGAAAUCAUCCGGUGGGUAGCAAGAUCUCCCUCAGGUGUGACUACCAGAUCCAGGAAUUCACCUCAAGGUCCAGUGACAACGCAGCGGUGAUCGUCUGGGAUGUGAACAGAGUCACCACAUCAGUCAACUGUAAAGUCUCAGUAAGUGAUGAUCAACUGGAGGUGUUCAAAGACAGUAGCUGGACGUCUGCUGGGGCAAAUGGAUCCAGUGUCACCAUCCAGGUGACAAACAGCAGUCUGAUGCUCAGUGACACCUGUGACUACUUAAAGAGUCUGAACUGACGGAAGUGAACACAUAUAGAAUCAGAUAUACUGACGUAAAUACAUACAGAUUCAUACACCCUGAUUUAAACACAUGCAGAGUCAGACUUGAAAUAAAGGAGAGACAUCUGAGUUCAAGAGAAAGAAAAAUGAGUUUAUUUUAGCUUAUUUUUUCUAUACAGUGUGUCUACAAUGGUAGCAGAGGCUAAGGUUGUGGCUGAAUGCAUUUUUACUGUCUCUUGUGUACACAACCUCUCUGGUUGUAAAUGAAAGUCAAUGGAGGGUGGGGAGGAUAUGGUCUUGGUCUGAGAUAUUGGCCCUCUAGUGACAUCCAGUGGUUUUAACUGUUGUACAUCGCAUAGCUACUGAAUUAAACAAUACAUUUCAAAUCAAUUCAACCGACAAUGAUUUAUUGCCAGACUUCAAUUAAUGAGUUGUUCUAACUUGAGGAACUUUACCGAAGUGAAAUCACAGGUUUAAUAAAUGAACUGCUGACCCACACAUUAAAAAACAAACACAAUUUUUUUUUUAAAAAACAAGACAUGGAAUGGAUGUAAAAUAUCUUUUUUCAGAUUACUGAACAAGGAGGUGUGCCAAUAAUUGUUCUAUGAACUGGUAGCGGGUCAAUCUGUCCCUGUGUUUGUGACAGUCCAUUUAAUAUAUUAAAUUCCAAUGUACAUUAUAUGAA
ensembl:lncRNA